CACGUAGGGCGCAAGCGUUGUCCGGAAUUAUUGGGCGUAAAGAGCUCGUAGGCGGUCUGUUGCGUCCGCUGUGAAAACUCGGGGCUUAACCCCGAGCCUGCAGUGGAUACGGGCAGACUAGAGGUAGGUAGGGGAGAAUGGAAUUCCCGGUGUAGCGGUGAAAUGCGCAGAUAUCGGGAGGAACACCCGUGGCGAAGGCGGCUUUCUGGGACGGUACUGACGCUGAGACGCGAAAGCGUGGGGAGCGAACAGG
rnacentral:rRNA from 1 species